CCCCACCCCCAGUAGAAAACCUAUUUCUCCUAAGUUGUAACCUAGCGCAGCCACUGUAAAAGAGGGGAGAAACCCCAGUACCCCAACGCGAAACCCAACUCCAGGCAGCCCACCCCGCGCCUCCCAGCCCCUCACAGUCGCGCCGAAGAAGCGCCGAACAAGCACCUCCUAGCCACUCCCAGUCCAAGGAACCUGCGCGGCCUAACCCCCUUCGGGUCUCGCAGAACGAGCGCCUCCUAGUAGCGCCGGACAGUGACGAAGCAGCGCAGACCAUCCCCUCUGAAGAGUGUCAAACCGGCAAACCCAACCCCUCUGACACCAAGUAUGGAGCCUCAAUCUCAGAUUUUGGAACUUUCUAUUUUGAUGGGGAAACUAUUGGUGGGCAUGAGCAUAAGGAUUCCCUUUCCAUGACCUCUUCAGUUGUUCCAUGGGUAACUGCAUUUGCUGCUACAGUUUGUGGAGAAAUAAAUGUGGAUGCUGAAGGCAGUUCUCCAAUUCAUCACAGAAUGUUCAAUCUAUAAAAGAAAUGUCUGUUUCCUAUAAAUGUAACAACCCGGUUGCCAUGAAUUUAUUUGUAUUUGGACUUGGCUUCAAGGAAGAAAUACAAUGUCAAUCGGAUGCAUGAAUGUCAAUAAUGUAACCAUCAUUGAAGUGCACUACUAGUAUUUUAAGUUGGACAAUUCUUGUCAUGCCAUUCCUAUUCCUCAUGACCAUUUCAUCAAGUCUCGUUUUCUACUUCCUAGUAGGGCUGAGACAUCAAUUAAACUUCUUAAUGUAGUUUGUGCUAGGCAUUUUCAUGUCUCUUUUAGCAAGUGAAGCAAUUAUGUUUGUCAUGGAAGUUGUUUAUGGUUUUGUUGUGUUCAUUUUAUUAUGCAGAUAAAUAUGUCUGCUUAUUAGAUGUAGGUGUGAGAGAGUCGGUACAGAUUUUAGUAUUUUUUUUGGCUUACUUGCAUCGUUGCAUUGUAUUAACUUAUUUUUUUUGCAUUUUGCAUUUCCUAUAUCCGUUAUCAGUUUAUAAUGAAUUUUUGUAGCUGUAUGUGUUUCGUGAAAUUAUUAUCAUUAAUUAAAUGUGUGUCAUUCUCAA